UGGCUCAGUUGGUAGAGCAUGGUGUUUGCAACGCCAGGGUUGUGGGUUCGCAUUCCCAC
rfam:Salmo salar isolate Sally breed double haploid chromosome ssa24, whole genome shotgun sequence.